GGUUAACACUCCUCUGGCUUUAUAUAAGCUGCCCCAGGCCACCUGCUGUGCGCUACACCUUCAGUCUUUUUCGUAGCUCCUGGAAGCAGCUGCCGGGACAGGCUGGUCCUCACCAUGGCCACCUGCUGGCAGGCACUAUGGGCCUAUCGCUCCUACCUGAUUGUGCUAUGUCUGCCCAUUUUCCUGUUGCCUCUGCCACUCAUUGUCCAAACUAAGGAAGCCUACUGUGCUUACUCCAUCAUCCUCAUGGCGCUGCUGUGGUGUACAGAGGCCCUGCCCUUGGCUGUCACCGCCCUCUUCCCCAUCAUCCUCUUCCCUUUGAUGGGUAUCAUGGAAGCCUCCAAGGUCUGCUUAGAGUACUUCAAGGACACCAACAUAUUGUUCGUCGGGGGUCUGAUGGUGGCCAUCGCCGUGGAGCACUGGAACCUGCACAAGCGCAUUGCCCUUGGAGUGCUCCUUAUCAUAGGAGUGCGGCCCGCCCUGCUGCUUCUGGGCUUCAUGUUGGUCACAGCCUUCCUCUCCAUGUGGAUCAGCAACACAGCCACCACAGCCAUGAUGCUGCCCAUCGGGUAUGCAGUCCUGGAGCAGCUGCAGGGCUCACAAAAGGAUGUGGAGGAAGGCAAUAGUAACCCUUCCUUUGAGCUCCAGGAAGCAAGUCCCCAGAAGGAGGAGACCAAGCUUGAUAACGGUCAGGCUGUAUCUGUUUCUUCGGAGCCAAGAGCUCAGAAGACCAAAGAGCAUCACCGCUUCAGCCAGGGCCUGAGUCUCUGCAUCUGCUACUCAGCCAGCAUUGGGGGCAUUGCCACCCUGACGGGUACCACACCCAACCUGGUGCUCCAAGGCCAGGUCAACUCGAUCUUCCCUGAAAAUAGUAACGUGGUGAACUUUGCUUCAUGGUUUGGUUUUGCCUUCCCCACCAUGGUGAUCUUGCUGCUACUGGCUUGGCUAUGGCUACAGGUCCUCUUCCUGGGUGUCAACCCUGAAGACCCCAGCCAGGCACCUUCCCAUAGUGCUCCAUGGUCCUUGGAUGAGCUGUUGGGGAUUCCUCAAGGAACACAGUUUGUUAGAGAAGCAUUUGAGCUUCCGGAAGAACUUUGGCUUUGGGGAAGGGGAAGAGGAACGGAAGCAGGCUGCCUUCCAGGUCAUCAAGACCCAGCACAGGCUGCUGGGCCCCAUGAGUUUUGCAGAGAAGGCUGUCACUUUCCUGUUUGUCCUGCUAGUGGUGCUCUGGUUCACGAGGGAGCCGGGCUUCUUCCCAGGCUGGGGUGACACAGCUUUCGCCAAUAAAAAAGGGCAAAGCAUGGUAUCAGAUGGGACAGUGGCCAUCUUUAUCAGCCUGAUUAUGUUCAUCAUACCCUCCAAGAUUCCAGGACUAACCGAGGACCCAAAAAAACCAGGGAAGCUGAAGGCUCCUCCUGCCAUCCUCACCUGGAAGACAGUGAACGAUAAGAUGCCCUGGAAUAUCCUGAUCUUGCUGGGUGGGGGCUUUGCCCUGGCCAAAGGCAGUGAGGAAUCAGGUUUGUCUAAGUGGCUGGGAGACAAACUGACCCCGCUGCAGCACGUACCGCCAUCAGCCACCGUGCUCAUCCUCUCUCUAUUGGUGGCCAUCUUCACUGAGUGCACCAGCAACGUGGCCACCACUACACUAUUUCUGCCCAUCCUGGCCUCCAUGGCACAGGCCAUCUGCCUUCACCCGCUCUAUGUCAUGCUUCCCUGCACCCUGGCUGCCUCCCUAGCUUUCAUGCUACCCGUGGCCACUCCACCCAACGCCAUUGUCUUCUCUUUUGGAGGCCUCAAAGUGUCUGAUAUGGCCCGUGCAGGAUUCCUGCUCAAUAUCAUCGGAGUGCUGACUAUCACAUUAUCCAUAAACAGCUGGAGUAUCCCUAUCUUCAAGCUGGACACAUUUCCCACCUGGGCCUACUCCAACACAAGCCAGUGCCUUCUCAAUCCGCCUAAUUCCACUGUACCAGGCCACUAGACUAUGGUACAACCUAGCUCUGCUAGGGGAAAAGCCGCUGGUGCCACUCCUCGGAGCCAGGAGAGGGCGCUCCAAACUCCAAGUCCCGGGACAGAGGUGCAGAAUCGGCUGGCGCAUGCGAAAUCAUGUAUUCGUGUGUUUGCCUACAUCCUGUAUGUGUGCUCUCCGGUGAAGAGGAAGAUGCUCGUGUCUCCGUGUGGUGUGCGUGGACGCUUGCGUGUGGUGUGGCCUGAGGGCUCCUCAGUAGUUGUAUGCAUGGCAACCGCGCCCGCCCUCUGACUCCCAGCUAGGCCUCCAGAUCUCUUUGCCCUGUAUUUAUUGAAACUCUGGGCAGGAGGCCCCUGGGAGCAGGAACUCCAAGGUUCAUUAAAGGCUUUUUCAGUAGA